rnacentral:rRNA from 1 species
GGGAAUAUUGCACAAUGGGGGAAACCCUGAUGCAGCGAUGCCGCGUGGAGGAAGAAGGUUUUCUGAUUGUAAACUCCUUUUAUCAGGGACGAUAAUGACGGUACCUGAAGAAAAAGCUCCGGCUCACUACGUGCCAGCAGCCGCGGUAAUACGUAGGGGGCAAGCGUUAUCCGGAUUUACUGGGUGUAAAGGGGGCGCAGACGGCAGCGCAAGCCAGGAGUGAAAGCCCGGGGCCCAACCCCGGGACUGCUCUUGGAACUGCGCGGCUGGAGUGCAGGAGGGGCAGGCGGAAUUCCUGGUGUAGCGGUGAAAUGCGUAGAUAUCAGGAGGAACACCGGUGGCGAAGGCGGCCUGCUGGACUGCGACUGACGUUGAGGCCCGAAAGCGUGGGGAGCAAACAGG